CGGGCUGCCAGGGCCGGGCACCACCGCACUGCGUCAGCCCUGCUAGAAAUCCGUAAAUGGGGUUUUUAUUCCAUCUUGCAUCACAGGUUCCCUGGGGGAGUGGGGAAAGCUGUGACUCUCCCCUAUAGAAAAAUAUGUUUAUACACAAAAAGUUGCAUACAAUUUCUGGUAAUUAUGGAAAUUCUGAAGCUUCUGCAUGGAUCCCCCAAGAGUCAUGGACUCAAAUUAAGGUCAAGCCUGUAAAUCCUUGCUUCCAACUCCUUGGCCAAAACAUGGGAGGUAGCUGGAAGCCCUUAAACAAUUCAUUUUCUUCCUACUGACUCAGAGUUGCUGAAUCUGUAGUCCUGGGAUAUGUUCCCAGUCGAUUCCCAUACAUCCAACCAAUCUUUGGACUGGUUUUGGGGAAGCAGCUCUCUAAAUGAUGCCCAUCCAAUGGACCAGAAUUCAUUUCUGUCACCUCUACCCAUAUAAUGUUAGAAAGUUGCUUCACCUCCCAAACCUUCUCUUUUCUCUUCCAUAAAAUGGGAAUAACAAUAGCCCCCACCUCAUAGAGUUGAUAUGGGAUUAAAUCAAAUAUUCCAUGAAAGUGUUUAUCAUAGUGCCUGGCACAGAAGUACUGAAUAAAUAGUAAUGUAUCACUGAUUACAUAGUAGUAUUAUUUAUCAUCAAUGUAAGUAAUCUCUGUAAAUGGUCUCUUGGUGAUAGGAUUGGGAACAGAAUCGAAUUUCUAGUAGACUGUCAACAAAAAUACAUGAAAGAAAGGAAAAAAUUCAAAGUUUAUUAAGCAUUAAGAAUAACAGACAGAUAAAGGUUUGGACUUAACAGCAUAAACACCACCAAUAUCAUGGUGUACAAUUCAACUGACCUCACGUGAAUUUGUACCCGUUUAACAGAUGCAACGUUUGUGGUGUUGCCAAAAGGAUAAUGGUUAUGGUUAUUGUUACGUUUGGUAAGGUGCUCCCAAAUUAAAGAUGUUAUGAUUUGACUAUAAAUAUUCACACACGCACACACACACACACACACACAGUCCUCUACACACUUGGCCCUCUCCAAAAUGUACUGAUUUCAGUUGCCAAGUCCAAUUCAAUCAAGAUCUAGGAUAAGGUUUUGCUCAAUCAAGAUCUAGGAUAAGGUUUUGCUCAAUUUUAAAAUGACAUUAUUAAUUGUAGAGAAAACCUGAAGGAGACCGUGGCCUUUCCAGGGAGGCCGAGGAGCCCUCGGCAUGAAGCUAGCACCCCGGGAGCAGAAGAGGUCUACCACAUACACGGUCUCCCAUCGCCUGCAGCUUGCUGACCCCGGGUUAAAUCCCAGCCUCUGCACUCCACUCAGGCAAGCAGGCCAAGCCAGCCUGCUUUGGGAUUACUCUGAUUAACUCUCCUAAAAUAGAACAUUUGUGAUCCUCAUUUGAUACAAACCACCUAACUCCAAGAACGACCAGUGCUCAGAGUUUUCUCAGCUACCAUUUCACAUGGCAGUGAACUUGGAAGGUCCAUGGUGCAUCGCUUCUCCACUUAAAGAUACUGCUUGUCUUUGUUUUAGUAAUGACUGCCACUUAAUAAUUCCGUGGCCAUUGGUCUUUUUACCUAUAAAAACGCCAACUUUGUGUGUCCACCUGUGUCUCUUACUGAAUACCGCUUAUUCAGUUCUGCUUCAGAACUUGGCCAAAGGUCUUACUUAUUUCACUAGUUGUAUACCUGAACAAUGCAUUUCGAUUCUAAUGCUCUCCCACUUCCUACCGUCAUCUGUGGCCCGGGACAAAAAGAAUACCUAGUAGGAAUAUCCUACUGGUCAGGUUUCCCAAGACUAGGACACUAUGACAGAAGCUUUGCGGGUGGACUGACCAGGAGACCACCAGAUCAUUAAAGAAUUAGGUACUCUGGAGGCAGGAGACUAGAAAAUCCCAUUGAUGAAAGGGUGUUUUAAUCUAGCACAAAUUGUUUCUUUGCAAUAACAGCAGAAUCUGUUGACAUUACACAACUUUGUGAAACAAAAGAACAAUCAUCUUUAAAGUCAAAACACCUAUCAAAUUAGAAACCAUACACAUAACACCAAUAUCAACCUCAUAUUGCAUAAGACGCACGUGCCCACAGAGGAGAACAGAAUUGUUUGGGGUGCUUGCAGUGAUAUUUCAUUCCAGGAACUCAUAACUUUGAAGUGAACAUUUUCGUGGCAGAUGCUUUUCCUAAAAAAACACUGUAUCAUCCAAUAAAUAUUUGACUAACAUCCACUUUGUGCUUUUGGGUGACGUUAACUGACUUCUUUCUGAGACCUAAUGGGAAACAAGAAAGCUCCUUCUAUAUUUUAGAGCGGGAUUUGUCACACCAAGCUUCGAUACUGUCAUAAAAUUUUAAUUUAAAGCAAAACACAUGCUGAUGUAUCAGUGAUAGGCUUAAAAUAUUAAAGACUUCAAAAACC